rnacentral:lncRNA from 1 species
GCCCCUAAAGCUGAUUUUUGAAUAGAUGACGAAGCACAAAUAUACAAAAGGAUACAAAGUGAAAAGGUCACGUGUGAGAGACAGCUCGAUCAGGAGCGAGCAGGUGGCCUCUCUUUCUGCCUCCUGCUAGCUACCGUGAAAACAGUCAGCAGAGCCUGCAAACGCGCUCGCCGGGACUUCCUGUGGCCACACGGUCCUUUCUUGAAGAAAUGGCUGAUUCCACGCUUGGGACCAGGGACAGAAUAAGAUAAGCCCAGAACGUCUUUUUGCGCCAGAAAGUAAGGAAGUUCUCAAAGAAUCAUGAGGCAUCCUCGGGGACACAAGGCCCAGCGUGAGGGGCUCCCUCCAGCCCGUUUUGAGCAUCAGGUUAAGGAUGAUAGUAACAUGUCAUCACCCACUAAAUAAAACAGAAAACCAUAAGUCCAUACUGGCGUGAACAAAUGAAUUAAAACUUUGAUGAGGAACGAGCUAUUCCCAUCGUCUCAG